CAUGUGUUGAUCUUUGGGUCUCCGAUUUUCAACUUUUUCGUCUUUCCAGUUAGAUGUCCCAACUUUUUACGGUCAUCGAUUGCAAACUCUUCGAAUUGUGCCCAUUUCAGAUAGGUCUUCCCAUUUAAUUGAUGAGAAGUUAACUGGAAGGGCAUGUGAGAAACAUUGCCUCCUUGAGUCAUCAGAUUUGGAGCUUCCAGAGAAGACAUUUUAUCUUCUUUUGAUAUUCCAGAAAGAUAUUCUCCUUGAGAAGCUAUUUUGACCAUAUGGUAUUAGGGGAAGUGUUCCAAUUCUGAUACCAUGAAAGUUUAGAUACUGCAAAAAUAUAUUUUCAUUCAUAGAGUUGCACAAUAUUUAUUGGUGAACAAGAAGAUCAAAAGAAUCUAAUCAAUCCCUAAUUACUAGGAGCUAUGUUGCGCGCACUCAUUGAUUUCGCCGCCGAACCCUUCCCAUCGUGACGUUGGUGCGGGCGUGCGGUACGUCUCUUAUUCGGUCAAAAGAAUCCGAAGACGUUGAUCCAACCUCAAGAACAAAGUUGGUUGUCGUCCUCGUAGUAAGAAAGACCGGCGACUGUAAUUGUUGUCAUCACAAGAAAGGGAGAAAAUCGGGGACUGCUGUCACCAUCGAAAUCCGGCGACAGUCAUCAUCGGAAUCAGUGACUGUUGCCAUCGUCCAAAUUCGACGACUGUAAUUUUUGUCAUCGGAAUUUGAAUCGUUGGAUAGAAACAAAAAGUGGUUGGGGACAAGAAAGAUGAUUCAUU
rnacentral:lncRNA from 1 species